GGUCAGAAAGGUCACUCCCCUUGGCGCGCCGCACGCUUCGCGAUCGCGACCGAGCGCGUUGACCGGUGACCUGGAGUCCACCCCCCCGCGGACGACUCGGCGAUCCGCGCGCGUUACGCGCGACCGACGUCGCGUCGCGCGAAAGAGGACACGUCUCCGCGUGAAAAAGGAAUAUUUGCAACAUUCAGCACAUUCACAUCACAUUCAGCCUCAGCCACACGAGGUACGCCAGCAACCUUUCGUUUCGAUUUCUUGUACUUUAUUCUUUGGUGAAGUUUUUUUAUUCUCGAACCCACUUGAUGACAUUCUAGGGCUAUCCAUCGUGCAAUUUUCAUUUCAGCGCCACUGAUAUUCACUUCACCUCGACGUUGUGAUCUGCUUUAGGAAAGUUUUUUCUCGCAAUGCGCAUCUCCGUCUCCGCGGCCGUCUUCUGCGUGCUGUUCGCGCUGCAAGUCUCGCAGGUUCAAGCGUCUCUCGGUCCCGUUCAGCACGACGGUAUCAAGAUGCCUGCUGGCGUAUCAACUCCCAAGUCAAUAGGCUUCAGCGAAAUUAUCGAACGUGGCCCAGACCGGCGCACGAUGAGAGAUGAAAGCGCAUUUGCCACUUGUGUUCUACGAAGGUAGCCUCUAAACCCGAUUUUUUAGUAUGGUUCGGGUUAGAUAGCGACGCAAAAAGCAAAGUUUAUGAAUCUUGUGGACCACUAUACGAAGAAACCGACUCUUUUUGCGAACUGACUGAAGAUGCCUAUCGAGGUGAUUUUGAUUCCAGGUUUGCUUCGGGAGGGGCAUUUGCAGCAUCCAAUACAGUCAUAUUUCCUGUAGAGACCAUGGGAGGCAACUACUGCUUCGCCUCUGAAGAAGACUGCUGCGAACUCAACGCUGGUCUCGUCGCUGGCAUAGUCAUCGGCUGCACCGUGGGCCUCACCCUGCUCAUCGUCGCGUGCGCGUGGUGCUGCAAGUGCUGCUGUUUCCAACGGAAGGUGCAGCCCGCGCAACCGGGGGUCGUGAUGAUGCAACCCGCGUACGUGUUGCCGAAAUAAGCGUCCGCACAGGAGUACGCCCGAUUUGUGUUGUUGGAUGGUUUGUUUCUCUCCUUGGGCUGUUAGUCUGGACGUGAAUAUCCCUAGAAGGAUACGAUGAAGACGAAUGCAGUCGAGGGGACAUGAACAUCAAACGGCACCAGUGACGGCGUUCUUCCUCUCCUUGUCGAAGUGUGAGUGUUUUUUGCUCAGCGACUCAAACUUCUAUCAUAUCUACCUUCACGCGUCCUCCCAGUCGUCGCCUUCGACGUCUUCCCACUCGUCGUC
rnacentral:lncRNA from 1 species